rnacentral:rRNA from 1 species
UACGAGGGGUCCAGGUGUUACUCGUGUUGAUUGGGUGUACAGGGUAAGUAGGCGGCUCAUCGAAAAUUUCGGGUCAAAGCGCGGAGAGUUCCUACGCGGAAGCCCGGUCUGCAGGAUGUGGCUAGUGUUGAUUUGGGGUAGAGGCAAAUUCGUGUGUAAGGUUACAUCUCGCCAGAUACGAAUGAACGCCGGUUGGCAAAGGCGCUUUUCCGCUUUCAACAGACGCUGAGGUACGGGAAGCGACAGGGAGCAAACGGGG